GACGAACGCUGGCGGCGUGCCUAACACAUGCAAGUCGAACGGGGUUGAGGUCUUCGGACCUUAACUUAGUGGCGAACGGGUGAGUAACGCGUGAGAAACCUGCCUUUCAGUGGGGGACAACAGUUGGAAACGACUGCUAAUACCGCAUAAUGUUAUUUGGGGGCAUCCCUGAAUAACCAAAGCUUUAUGUGCUGAAAGAUGGUCUCGCGUCUGAUUAGCUAGAUGGCGGGGUAACGGCCCACCAUGGCGACGAUCAGUAGCCGGUCUGAGAGGAUGAACGGCCACAUUGGGACUGAGAUACGGCCCAGACUCCUACGGGAGGCAGCAGUGGGGAAUAUUGGGCAAUGGGGGGAAACCCUGACCCAGCAACGCCGCGUGAAGGAGAAGGCUUUCGGGUUGUAAACUCUUUUAGCAGGGACGAAGGACGUGACGGUACCUGCAGAAAAAGCAACGGCUAACUACGUG
rnacentral:rRNA from 1 species